GGCCAACUUGUUGUUGGACAGGAGCAGUUCAGAGGUCCCCUCGAUGGGGACACUGGGUGACUGGAUGGAUGGAAUGAGGACCUUGCCCUGCAAAGAGGCCUUCUCCGGGGUCAGCUACAGCUCCUGUGACACCCUGGCCAAGACCUCCACAGAUAGAGUGGUUCUGACGGAGGUCCACGUCACACCCGCCACUUGCCCAGAAUGGGAGCCGUCCAUGGGAAUCACCACUCUCUAACGCCCAGCUCCUUCCCGCCUCCUCAGGCUCUGGAUGGGAUCUGAAAAAGGUUGGAGUAACUAUCGUAGGACCGCAGAAGAAGAUCGUGAGCAGCCUCAAAGCCCUAGAUUCCCACACCAAGAAUGGCCCAGUACCUGUUUAAGAAAUGAACCCAGCGAGUAAAAACAGCAGAGACUUGUCUGUCGGUGUGGUUGCUAAUAGAUGGAAAUGGAGGAAAAUAUGCGAUACAACUGAGGGCUUUUGUUGUUUCGUUGAAAGACGAUACCAAGUCCUUACAGAGAGACAGGAAAGAGCUCAGUGCAGACCUGCCAGCUAGUGAACUGGCUGACUCUUCGACCCUCCGUCCCUCCAUGCCCAAGUUGAGAUGCCUUACAGACAUAUAGGGGGGUUAGAGAGAGCAGAGGGAAGCCAAGGAGGUCAAGGAGACCUUCGAAGGGAUACAAAAUAGGACUGGACCGAUCACAGGGCAAGGACUGGACUAACUUAUAGCCGGAGCUCUCCAAUAUUGGCUAAGCUGGACAGCAUAGCCUUCCCCUUACGGCUAAAAGGGGACAGGCAUGCUCACAGUCUCCUCCCACCACGCCUGACUGUCUGUGGAACGAGGCAGUGAAACAGUGUGUAGAAGAGCACGUCAGACAGCAGCAGCUCACCCGGAUGUGGACCCCUCCUGGACUAAUGAGGUCUGAGGCGUGAGAUUUUGUUAUAACUACCUACAUAUACCGUCUCUAUCCAUGAGAGAACUGAGCUGGUUAUGGACAUACCUAGGCAUUAACCGAGCCAUUUUACUCCGUAGCUCUAACUCUAUAGCAUUUGCAUUCAGUAGACAUGUCACAUAAAAGCAAUAAUUAUGAUAAUCAGUUAAAUAGUCUCAUUGUUUGGAAGCCAUGAGUCCGUCACAUGUACAAUGUAUUGAACGCUGUGCUUUGAAGGUACAGGGGCCAUAACACACUUCACACACAGUUUUUCUUUAUGGUGACAUCAGUGUUCUAUGUGCUUAUGAACAGAUAUUGUACAGUUAUAGUGCCGCUCCCUCAACCCAAUGCCCUUUGUGUGAAAUCUCAGGAUGUGUACGUUAUUCAUUGUAUUUUCUCUAACAAGGGGAAACAGACAGAGAGAAUGGAGCAGUGCCAGAAACUGAGGGUGCGGGUUAAAAAAGACAGAAAAGGGAAAACUCUAAGAGAGAAAUUUAUAAGAGGUAAAACAGAAUCUAUGAUGAAGUGGUGUCUUUCAGGCUCCUGCUUCAGACAUUCUUGUUGUGUUGUGGAAGUGUUUUAAACUAGAGGAGAGUUUUUACUUGAGUUUCUUCUUCAGGUAAGGCAAGUUAGCAUCAUUCACCCUACAGAACAUCAGGUAUCAUAAUCUCUCUAAGGAGUGGAAUUUGUUCUGUUAUUAAUCACCCAUUUUGAAUAUUUGCAGGUCACUAAAUGGCUAUUAUCAGUUAUUAUCACUAAAAUUAUAAUGCUUCAGACGGGGGAAACUGCACGUACCAAUAGGCCUGAUAUCGCAUUUAAAUGUUGGGAAUUGGUUGCAGUUGGUCAGGUUUCAGUCCUAUUAGUUUUCACAUUCGCCACACUUGGUUCAGAAAAAAAAUUAGGGUUUGGGUUUAAAAAAAGUACUUUUGUUAUGUAAUCUAAACUACGUAGGUUACCUUCAUUAUGUACUGAAGUAUGUAUGUAUCGUAAAAUAAAUCAACACAGACUUUUGGUUUUGCAUGUGACAUAAACAGCAGUCUCUGAAAAGUUUGCUUGAGCCAUCUAUCCAAACCAACCUCCUCCUUACUCAGACUUUGUUGCUCAUUAUACUACGCCGCCUUUCGUCCCCAUUUGAUCCCAUCAUAAUCCCUAUGGCCACCAUAGGUUGGCACCCAAUAAUAAACGCAAAAAUAGGAGGCAUUUUAGGGCCCUACUUAAUCAAAUCUAUGGUGCCAAUGCUAUGACGACGGCAGCACAUGUAGAUGCAGCAGCCUGCAGCUCCUCAUAUCCUUGCUUCUUUUUUUGCAUUUUUUUUUUUUUUUGACAC